GCGGGGAGAGUAGGUUGCUGUGGUCGGAGCUGGAGGGCGAAGCCGGUGGAGUGAGAGGAUGGGCGUCUGAAUGCCAGAAUGGAUAACCGUUUCGCUACAGCCUUUGUGAUUGCCUGUGUGCUUAGUCUUAUCUCCACCAUCUACAUGGCCGCCUCCAUAGGCACAGACUUCUGGUAUGAGUAUCAAAGUCCUGCUCAAGAGAAUUCUAGUGAUGCGAAUAGAAUUGCCUGGGAAGAUUUCAUGGGCGAUGAGGCGGAUGAGAAGACCUACAACGAUGCUCUGUUCCGGUACAACGGCAACUUGGGAUUGUGGAGACGCUGUAUCACCAUUCCCAAAAACACUCACUGAGUCAUUUGAAGUGGUUACAAAAUGCAUGAGUUUCACACUAAACGAACAGUUCAUGGAGAAGUAUGUUGAUCCUGGAAACCACAACAGUGGCAUUGACCUGCUUCGGACCUACCUCUGGCGCUGCCAGUUCCUCUUACCGUUUGUUAGCUUGGGUCUGAUGUGCUUCGGGGCUUUGAUUGGACUUUGUGCCUGUGUGUGCCGCAGCCUGUACCCCACCAUUGCCACAGGCAUUCUCCAUCUCCUUGCAGGUCUGUGUACGCUGGGCUCCGUGAGUUGUUAUGUUGCUGGCAUUGAGCUGCUCCAUCAGAAACUAGGGCUGCCCAAGAACGUAUCUGGGGAAUUUGGAUGGUCCUUCUGCCUGGCCUGCGUCUCAGCUCCCUUACAGUUCAUGGCUUCUGCU
rnacentral:lncRNA from 1 species